rnacentral:rRNA from 1 species
AUGCCACCUUCCGUGCAUGACACAGAAGGCCUGCUGUUCAUGAAGCAUGGUUGUGUCUUCAGUGCGCACCGCUGGAUGAACGACAUGCUGGGACACGCUAUCCCUGAUUUAUGCCGCUUCAGCUUGGAUGAGUCUCCAUCGUGUGGAGCCGGACUAGAAAGCUGCGACAAUGAUUCCGGUUGCCCACCGCUAUGGAUCGUGCCAUCCAUGAAGAACACCUGGGACUGGAACCUGGAGGAGGACAUACACAUAUGUCAUCGGUGUAACUAUUUACACUCCAAAGGACGGUAUAUCCUGGUAGUAGUAGUAGAAUUGAGAUUUAAUGCACUUUCUUCCCCGUCUUCCACUCUUCUUCCUCCUCUCUUCCCCAUCGUCGGCCGCACAUCAUUUCCCCCCGCUCUCUGCUUGCCCGCCCGCGCUAUCUUCCUUGGUAGCUCGCGCGAUUUUUAUAACAACUACUAUAUAACUGGAAUUAACCCAUGCAAGUCGAAGAAGGAUUGGUCGGUGUUGCCGGCUGGCGUUAAGUUCGAUCCCACGGAUCAGGAGCUGAUCGAGCACCUUGAGGCCAAAGUGAGUGCUGACAGUGCGAGAUCUCACCCUCUCAUCGAUUUGUUCAUACCAACCAUUGACAGCGAGCACGGCAUAUGCUACAUCCAUCCUGAGAAACUUCCAGCGCAAUUCCAGGGCGUUAGGGGAACGUGGACGUGUCGCAAGAUACAGUCGAAGUGCGGCAUGCACGCGAUGUGGCACAACACUGGCAAUACCUUGCCGGUGAUGGUCAGCGGCCGACAGACGGGCAGCAAAAAGGUUCUGGUGCUGCACACCAACAAGAACUUCGACCAGCAGAGGACCAACUGGGUGAUGCACCAGUACCACCUCGGGGACCUGGAGCAAGAGAAGGAGCGGGAGCUAGUCCUCUGCAAGAUUUUCUACCAGACAACACUAGGGCCGGGAGUAAAAAGAUUAUAA